UCGAUAGUGAGUGAAUCAUCGAAUCUUUGAACGCACCUUGCACUUUGGGAGUCAAUCUCAAAGUAUACCUGUUUGAGUAUCAUAAACAUUUAUCCAAGCAAUUGGGAUUUGAGGAUUAUUUUCUCUGAGAAGGUAUUCCUUUAAAUAUAGAACGGAGUUAGCUGAUGAACUUGCACGCUUACUCGAGUGAGGGUAUUUGCAUUAGUGCAAAGGAUUCAUAAGAGAUUGUGUGAGGGACAGUAGUGUAAUGUGACUAUGGCUAUGGCCAUAGCUAUGUUAAAUAAUUCCGAUGAUUUGUUUUGUUUGUUGUUUUGUAAAAACACUAGCUCAACAAUUCAAUUUCUUCUGUACAAAUGUGAUCUCAAAUCAGGCAAGAUUACCCGCUGAACUUAAGCAUAUCAAUAAGCGGAGG
rnacentral:rRNA from 1 species